rnacentral:rRNA from 1 species
GACGAACCGUGCGAACGUUGUUCGGAUUCACUGGGCUUAAAGGGCGCGUAGGCGGGCGACCAAGUCGAGGGGUGAAAUCUUUCGGCCCAACCGGAAAAGUGCCCCUGAUACUGGCCGCCUCGAGGGGGGUAGGGGCAUGCGGAACUUCCGGUGGAGCGGUGAAAUGCGUAGAUAUCGGAAGGAACGCCGGUGGCGAAAGCGGCGUGCUGGACCCCUUCUGACGCUGAGGCGCGAAAGCCAGGGGAGCAAACGGG